UGGCUCAGUUCUCUGUGUUGUUCUUACAUUACAGGGUACCAGAAACUACUGAUCUGAAGAGCCUGCUGUGUUACAGCUGCACACUGACUGUCAGAGACAUGUCCACAGUGAAGCACCUCCCUCAGUACAUCCUGUCAGAGGCUCAGAGGAGGCAGAGCAGGUCUCAAAUGAGAGAGGAGAUCGCUGAGUUCCUGCUGGAUGAUCAUGAUGAAGGAAAUUAGAAACAAGAGGAAAGUUUCGUCAAAGACGAUGUCAACUCAGCCUGCAGGAAGUAGAUGGUUUUCAUAUGUUUAACAAUGAAAUCCAUGGAGGGUUUUUGCAAAUGUAGCGAUUCAUUAUCUGUCUGUCUGUCCUUAGUCUAUGUGGGGCCAAAGGUAACACACAGACAGGCCUUCAGAAUGUAUUUGAUCACUUUUUUGGAAUUGAUCAUGGAAGCAGCCCUGCAGUCUGAUGAGGACUGAGAUGGACAGAUCUUUAGAGGGUUGUUUUUGUUGUUUUAUGCAUGCUUCCAGAAAUAGACCACAGUUCAGUGAUUUGUUAGUCAUAUUCAGAGUUGUAUUACAACCAGAAAACAUUAAUAUAUAAUUGUUAUACACAGCACUCUACUUUUAAGUUUGCCCAUGAACUUCUGUUUUUUUUUUUAUGUGUUUGUAAAUGAAGAAACUUCAAAGUUGACACUAUGUCUUUAUUUCCAUUUGUAGUACUGUGCCCUUAAUAAACCUUCAAAUUUCA